UCCAGACUCCUACGGGAGGCAGCAGUGGGGGAUAUUGCACAAUGGGGGAAACCCUGAUGCAGCGACGCCGCGUGAGUGAAGAAGUAUUUCGGUAUGUAAAGCUCUAUCAGCAGGGAAGAAAAAAGACGGUACCUGACUAAGAAGCCCCAGCUAACUACGUGCCAGCAGCCGCGGUAAUACGUAGGGGGCAAGCGUUAUCCGGAUUUACUGGGUGUAAAGGGAGCGUAGACGGCAAUACAAGUCGGAAGUGAAAUACCCGGGCUCAACCUGGGAACUGCUUUGGAAACUGUAUGGCUGGAGUGCUGGAGAGGUAAGCGGAAUUCCUAGUGUAGCGGUGAAAUGCGUAGAUAUUAGGAGGAACACCAGUGGCGAAGGCGGCUUACUGGACAGUAACUGACGUUGAGGCUCGAAAGCGUGGGGAGCAAACAGGAUUAGAUACCCGCGUAAU
rnacentral:rRNA from 1 species